ACAUCGAGGCCAGGACACGCGACCCGUGACAGUGUCGAACUAACCAAAAAACCCAAGUGCCAAGUGCCAAGUGCCGUGUGAAGAGGCCACCACAAACAACUAACUAACUAACUGCCUCCAGAAACUGUGCGAUUUAAGCUAAGAGCAAAACAGAAAGUGCAUCAGUGCCCGGGAAAAACCUUAAAGCAAACAGCCAGCGAAGUGAAUUAACCAUAAACAAAACCCCCCAAAAAAAAUAAACCGAAGCAAGGCAAAAACGAAAUUUAAACGUCUGUGCAUAUUAAUCAGAACAAGGAACGUGAAACGUGAACAGGAUCAGGUCCUAGACAACUUAUCACAGAGGAUUUACGCAGCAGACAAACGCAGGACACGAAUGCGAGAGUAGAGCGAAAGGCGGCGCUAAUCAACGGCCAAGGCAGACGACAUCCUUACCACGCCCACAACUCCCCCUUUGGAAAAAAGAGAAGCGAAAAAAAACAGGAGCCACCGAGCUGAAGAGCAGGAGCCGCCUCAUUUGGCCACUGCGGAUUAUGUUAAUUAGAUUUUAAGCACGCGACGACAACGACGCCGGGGGAGCACUUGGCAUUGUAAUGUGACAACAGUUGGCUAAAAACAACAACAGGACCAAAACCAGGGGCGUCAGGAGUAGCAGGAAUGCUCGCUUUUUAAUUGACAUUUGCUCGAGUUGAGUUGCGUUGCGUUUUGUUCAACAGCAAUUAGCAUCACGAAAAAAAACAAGAACAAAAAACGCAGAAACAAAACACAAAGGAGCGCAAUUAAAAUUGUAAAACAAUUGCAGAACGUUGAAUUGAAAACGCGGAGGGGGUGAAAGAAUAACAGACGACCCGGAAUAGAAUGAUCAAGUUGAUUUAAUUAAAAAUUCACCAUCAGCAUCACAAGCAUCCCGGGUGCAAUGGAAUUCGAGCACGCAGCUUGAGCAAUGGCCGCCGGACCGGAAACGCAGCCAUUGCCCUCGGGCAACAUCCGCCUCUGACUGCCGCCGACACUUGUCACAUGUUUGGCCAAAAAGGCGCGCACGUGACGCCCCUGAGUUCCAUAGACCGAUGAGCGAACGGAUGAACGAGGAAAUGAAUGAGCCAGCAGCCAUAUUCAAAAUUGAACGUUAAACGUUCGCACGUACCGAGCAUAAAUUCCAAGUGAAAUAAAAGAGCUGG